rnacentral:rRNA from 1 species
GACGAACGCUGGCGGCGUGCUUAACACAUGCAAGUCGAACGGAAAGACCCUGCUUUUGUGGGGUGCUCGAGUGGCGAACGGGUGAGUAACACGUGAGUAACCUGCCCUUGACUUUGGGAUAACUUCAGGAAACUGGGGCUAAUACCGGAUAGGAGCUCCUGCUGCAUGGUGGGGGUUGGAAAGUUUCGGCGGUUGGGGAUGGACUCGCGGCUUAUCAGCUUGUGGGUGGGGUAGUGGCUUACCAAGGCUUUGACGGGUAGCCGGCCUGAGAGGGUGACCGGCCACAUUGGGACUGAGAUACGGCCCAGACUCCUACGGGAGGCAGCAGUGGGGAAUAUUGCACAAUGGGCGGAAGCCUGAUGCAGCAACGCCGCGUGCGGGAUGACGGCCUUCGGGUUGUAAACCGCUUUCGCCUGUGACGAAGCGUGAGUGACGGUAAGGGGUAAAGAAGCACCGGCUAACUACG